rnacentral:rRNA from 1 species
UCCGGAGGGUGCAAGCGUUAAUCGGAAUUACUGGGCGUAAAGCGCAUGCAGGUGGUUUGUUAAGUCAGAUGUGAAAGCCCUGGGCUCAACCUAGGAAUCGCAUUUGAAACUGACAAGCUAGAGUACUGUAGAGGGGGGUAGAAUUUCAGGUGUAGCGGUGAAAUGCGUAGAGAUCUGAAGGAAUACCGGUGGCGAAGGCGGCCCCCUGGACAGAUACUGACACUCAGAUGCGAAAGCGUGGGGAGCAAACAGG